rnacentral:sRNA from 1 species
UGGUAGAUGCACCCUGAUAACUAACUCCCCUGGUAAGCUCAUACCUACUGGGGGUUUUUUAU